rnacentral:rRNA from 1 species
GGCUGCAACUCGCCUACAUGAAGUCGGAAUCGCUAGUAAUCGCGCAUCAGCCACGGCGCGGUGAAUACGUUCCCGGGCCUUGUACACACCGCCCGUCAAGCCAUGGAAGCCGGGGUGCCUAAAGUGCGUGACCGCAAGGGACGCCCUAGGGUAAAACCGGUGACUGGGGCUAAGUCGUAACAAGGUAAC